GGUCCCACAUGGGCCACAUUUGGGCUAUAUUAGGCUAUAUUUACAGUUACAAAAAUUUUGUUUUUUGCAGUUGGUUUAUUUUUAUGCAGUUAUGAGUAACUUAAGUAUUGCAUGUGUUUUUAAAGGAUUAUAUCAUAAUGUACUGUAUAUAGGCUACAACAAUCCAAGACCAUUUACUUUAGGAAUAAUUUAAUUUUAUUUAUUUAUAAGCAUCUCCAAAAAAGUAGGCCUACUCAAGUUUUUUUCCUUAUAAUCUAAAAGCACUUGUGUUAUGCAGUCAUUGAGUCAUGCGAAGAUUGGCGUGCGUGUCUUCCCGCCCUUUCUCAUUUAAAAAAAACCGGUUUGCCGCUCACCACUUAAACACGGGCACCUGCUGCGUGUCAAUGGAUAAACUCUAGGCCUAAUCUAUCAAAGUAAGAUUUGCUGAGUUACUGCUGCUUUUAUCUACCCUUUAAUUGGAUAUUUUUUUCAAUGCUCCGCGGCUGGCAGACCGGCGGGGAGACUCACCGUGAAGGCGAAAGUCCUAAGAGUGUGUUAAAUGGCACGCUGGCAGACCGGCGGGAGACUCGUGAAGACGAAAAGCCUUAAGAAUGCUUUAAAUAGGAGCGGCGCUGGCAGAGCGGCCGGACCCUCGGGAGACAGGCGGCCAUAAAGAAGACCGUUUUAAACAUUUUCAGAUGGUAUGAAGCUGAGGAGUCUGCACAGGCCUAGGAAUAUAAUUUUAUCCUGAUCUAUUCAAGCGUUUUUGUCUAUUUUUGUUUAAUAUUUUGUUUUACCCAAU